rnacentral:rRNA from 1 species
UACAGAGGGGGCAAGCGUUGUUCGGAAUUACUGGGCGUAAAGGGCGCGUAGGUGGCCCGCUAAGUCGAACGUGAAAUCCCCGGGCUCAACCCGGGAACUGCGUCCGAUACUGGUGGGCUUGAAUCCGGGAGAGGGAUGCGGAAUUCCAGGUGUAGCGGUGAAAUGCGUAGAUAUCUGGAGGAACACCGGUGGCGAAGGCGGCAUCCUGGACCGGUAUUGACACUGAGGCGCGAAAGCCAGGGGAGCAAACGGG